rnacentral:lncRNA from 1 species
CACCCCAUAACCACACCCCAUAACCACACCCCAUAGCCCAUAACGACACCCCGUAGCCCAUAACAACACCCCAUAACCACACCCCAUAGCCCUGAAUACCCCAUAGCACCCCAUAACCACACCCCAUAACCACACCCCAUAGCCCUGAAUACCCCAUAGCCCAUAACAACACCCCAUAGCCCUGAAUACCCCAUAACACCCCAUAACAACACCCCAUACUCCAUAACACCCCAUAGCCCAUAACGACACCCCAUAACAACACCCCAUAACAACACCCCAUAACAACACCCCAUAGCCCAUAGCACCCCAUAGCCCAUAACGACACCCCAUAGCCCAUAGCACCCCAUAGCCCAUAAGGACACCCCAUAACACCCCAUACCCCAUAGCACCCCAUAGCCCAUAAUGACGCCCUAUGGACCCCAAUACCCCCAAUACCCCAUAGCACCCCAUAGCCCAUAGCACCCCAUAGCCCAUAACGACGCCCUAUGGACCCCAAUACCCCCCAUACCCCAUAACCCCGCAGUGCGCUCCCUGGGUGUCGGGGCCGAUCUGUGAGUGCCCCAUAACCCUGAAUACCCCAUAACACCCCAUAACAACACCCCAUACCCCAUAACACCCCAUAGCCCAUAACAACACCCCAUAACAACACCCCAUACCCCAUAGCACCCCAUACCCCAUAGCACCCCAUAGCCCAUAAUGACACCCCAUAACAACACCCCAUAACCACACCCCAUAACCCAUAGCACCCCAUAGCCCAUAACAACACCCCAUAGCCCAUAACCACACCCCAUACCCCAUAACCAAACCCCAUAGCCCAUAGCACCCCAUAGCCCUGAAUACCCCAUAGACCCCAUAACAACACCCCAUAGCCCAUAACAACACCCCAUAGCACCCCAUAGCACCCCAUAGCCCAUAAUGACGCCCUAUGGACCCCAAUACCCCCAUACCCCAUAACCCCGCAGUGCGCUCCCUGGGUGUCGGGGCCGAUCUCCGCGUGCGGCUGCGGGACGUGAUGGUGGAACAGCAGAGAGUGAGGACGGGGAAGACACUGGGAGAAGGUACGGACCCAUAGGGACCCCAUAGGGACCCAUAGAAACCCCAUAGGGACCCAUAGGGACCCAUAGGGACCCAUAGGGACCCAUAGAGACCCAUAGAAACCCCAUAGGGACCCAUAGGGACCCCAUAGGGACACAUAGGGACCCAUAGUAGACAAUAGGGCGACCCAUAGGGAACCCAUAGGGACCCAUAUAACAACAUUGGACCAGGUAGACCCCUAACC